UUUCCUACGGGUGGCAGCAGUGGGGAAUUUUGGACAAUGGGCGCAAGCCUGAUCCAGCAAUGCCGCGUGUGUGAAGAAGGCCUUCGGGUUGUAAAGCACUUUUGGCAGGAAAGAAAUAGCGCGUGCUAAUACCAUGCGCGAAUGACGGUACCUGCAGAAUAAGCACCGGCUAACUACGUGCCAGCAGCCGCGGUAAUACGUAGGGUGCAAGCGUUAAUCGGAAUUACUGGGCGUAAAGCGUGCGCAGGCGGCUUUGGAAGACGGAUGUGAAAGCCCCGGGCUCAACCUGGGAAGUGCAUUCGUGACUGCAAGGCUAGAGUGUGUCAGAGGGAGGUGGAAUUCCGCGUGUAGCAGUGAAAUGCGUAGAGAUGCGGAGGAACACCGAUGGCGAAGGCAGCCUCCUGGGAUAACACUGACGCUCAGGCACGAAAGCGUGGGGAGCAAACAGGAUUAGAUACCCCGGUAGUC
rnacentral:rRNA from 1 species